rfam:Parcubacteria bacterium GW2011_GWA1_47_10 TX71_C0004, whole genome shotgun sequence.
UGCGGGGUCGUCUAACGGCAGGACAGGAGCCUUUGAAGCUUCUAAUGAAGGUCCGACUCCUUCCCCCGCAG